rnacentral:rRNA from 1 species
AAAGGGAUUGCCUCAGUACGGCGAGUGAGCGGCAAAAGCUCAAAUUUGAAAUCUAGCACCUUCGGUGUUCGAGUUGUAAUUUGAAGAUGGUAACCUUGGGUUUGGCUCUUGUCUAUGUUCCUUGGAACAGGACGUCAUAGAGGGUGAGAAUCCCGUCUGAUGAGAUGCCCAUUCCUAUGUAAGGUGCUAUCGAAGAGUCGAGUUGUUUGGGAAUGCAGCUCUAAGUGGGUGGUAAAUUCCAUCUAAAGCUAAAUAUUGGCGAGAGACCGAUAGCGAACAAGUACAGUGAUGGAAAGAUGAAAAGAACUUUGAAAAGAGAGUGAAAAAGUACGUGAAAUUGUUGAAAGGGAAGGGCAUUAGAUCAGACUUGGUGUUUUACGAUUAUCUUCUCUUCUUGAGUUGUGCACUCGUAUUUCACUGGGCCAGCAUCGAUUCGGAUGGUAAGAUAAUGACAGUUGAACGUGGCUCCAUUCGUGGAGUGUUAUAGCUUCUGUUGAUAUUGCCUGUCUGGAUCGAGGGCUGCGUCUUUUGACUAGGAUGCUGGCGUAAUGAUCUAAUGCCGCCAGUCUUGAAGCGCGGACCCAA